CAAAGACCCCCGAGUGGGUUGAAACGACGGAUGCAGGGCACUGGGCCCAGGAGAGAGGGGUCAGCCUUUGCUUCCAUAAUAUUGAAAUCACCCACUUGCGUGUCCGUCUUUUCCUCGGGCUGUGACCUCCUUCAAUGGUCUGUGUCCCACUCGUCUUUCAGUCCCUCCUCCCCAUCGUCUAGCAGGGCGCCUGGCUCCCUAUAAGUUUAGCUCAAUAAAUGUUAAGUUGAACGGCGGCAGAUCUUUGCAUCGGUCCAAUCCCGAGCUUCUGUACAGAAAGCAAGAUAAACACGUUCCACUCAGGGGGCCGGCGUUCUCUUGUUCCUUUGGAGGGGCUAUGGGGGAUUCAGGGGGUACUUUAAUACUCCCGAGUGGAGGGAGCUGUCAGACAGCCGGCCCUCUGCAAGGGACAGUCGAAGGAGUUGGGAAGGUGCGUGCGCCCCUCUCACCAGGCCCGCGGAUGCUGGGUGGUACCCAAGGAGGCGCUCGGAUGGGUCACUACGGAUGGAGCUAAGCCAGGGAUCUUCUGCACGAACUUCUCCCAUCUCAGAGCAUCCUCGUCCUUCUAUGUCACUGAACUGGCCGUCUCCAUCUGGCAACUGGGAAGAGUCUGCCUCCAGGGCGCCGGGGGUGGGGAGGAGGGCAGAGCGCAGGAUUGCGGAAUGCGCGGCGCACACGCGAGCGGGCAUCACCGCGGGCUUCGCGCCGGCUCGCUUAGGCUCCGGCGCGGGCGCAGCCAGGACCCCGGCCCGGUGCGGAGCGCGCCCUCCCCCACGCCAUCUGGGCCUCCGGCGGCCCAGGCCCGUCCCGCCUCCCCGAGGCCUUCCGCGGCUCGGUGUCCCACGCUGCCCCGGCGGCGGGCGGACGGCAGCGCGGGCCGCCGGUGAGCCGGGGCGAGCGGGGGCCGAGGACGCACGCGGCCGGACGGGCGGCGCGCGCUCCCCUCCCCCGCCCCGGCCGGCAGCGCGAGCCGCCGUUGACGUCACGGGCGCCCGCCUGCCCUGCGCUCCACUGGGCAGAGCGUGCGCGGCCGGCCGCCGAGCACAUGGGCCCGCGGGCCGGCGGGCUCGGGGCGGCCUGGCCCGGGAGGAGCGGCGAGGGGGCGCCAGCAAGGAUGGGCCGCGGCACCCCCGGCCCCCGGCGAGUGGAUUUCCACGCGGGAAGGAGGUUGGCGGCGCCGGUGACCUUCGGAGACACGGCUGGAUCCACCUUCCAGCCUGAUCUUUUGACCAGAAAGAAAUUAAAAAGAUGCCUGCCAUGCUGGCUGCGCCCGUCAGCUGCAUGCAGCUUCGUUCAAGGAUUUUUGGAGCCCUGUGGAUUUACAGUGAUACUCGGCCGCCUGGGGGAUCACGCUGGUGGACGCAUUCUCUGGAAUUAAGUAUCCCGGCACAUUUCUGGAUGCUGAAGGUGGUUUUAAGGAAGGCCCCGGCUGAGCGCCUUGUGGAUUCCUGCAGCCUGGACGCCUGUGGGGGACAGAGGACUGAGCUCUCUGUCCUUCUCUCGGACUGAAAUGUUUGGUUGGGUCCCUGCCAGCUCCCUUGGGGGCUCCCUAUGAAACGGAUUUGUACCCAAAAGAAAACAGAAGAGGAGGGUUUGAGUCACCGUUCUGCUGUAUGAUCAUGGAAUCCUGUUACACCUGGGAUUUAGGUGCCUUCAAUCUGGAAAAAAUACAUAUCCGUUCAACACUCCAGAGGGACUUCAGAGCUGUCCUUCCCUCAACUAAAGCUGGAGUAUUUUAGGAUUUGGAGAAUUAAGUUUCUUUGUAGUGGCAAAGUGGAGUUCACUGGACGUUUCCCCCAGUCAAAAGUAGAUGACCUGUGCUGAAGAUGAAGCUAAAGAGAAUCUUGGAAAGAACUCGACAGUUCUUUGGACAUCACCAUGUGAGGGAAACUGAGGCCCAGAGAGGUGAAGCAUGGUCCAAGGCCACACAGCCAGUUGGAGGAAGAUUAGCCCUGAGCUAACAUCUGCUACCAAUCCUCCUCUUUUUGCUGAGAAAGACUGGCCCUGAGCUAACAUCCAUGCCCAUCUUCCUCUACUUUCUAUGUGGGACGCCUACCACAGCAUGGCCUGUCAAGCGGUGCCAUGUCCACACCCGGGAUCCGAACCAGCAAACCCCGGACCGCUGAAGUGGAACGUGUGCACUUAACCGCUGCACCAUGGGGCCGGCCCCUGAUUUUGCCAAUUUUUUUUGAGCACAUGCUUCCUCUUCUAUACAAGAGAUCUUCCCCCCGAAUCUGUGUGACUAACCAUUUGUAGAGAGUUUCUGAAACGGUGAGUCAACCAGCACAUGGCCAUUGCCUUGGGGAUUAGAUCUGUCCAACCCCUUUUGGAAUCUCUCAUUCUUCUUGCUAGGUGGACAUCAGAGCUGUUCCCACCCAACUGCCCCACUUCAGGUUUCCGGGCGGGCUCCCCAGGGGAGAGGUUGACGUGGAGAUUCAAGGGCCAGAGUGCCAAAGCUUCUGCCUGCGCCACCAUUCCAAGGCAGAGUGCCGGCUGUCAGGGAACAGCAUGGUGGCAGCAGCACGUUCCCCUCAUCAGCCACACGAAUACCCUAGGAACCCUUGUGUUUCUGCCUAGCCAAAGAAAUUAAUUUCUAAAUGACACCUAAUAGGUAUAAUUUAUCGAGCACUUACUCUGUGCCAGGUGGCCCAGAAAGCAGUUUAUUCUUUUGAUCUCGUAUGAAACCCUCCUGACAGCCUUCUGAGAGCAUUUCUGUGUUUCGCUUGAAGGACAAGCUCCAGUCCACCCACCUACAGAAUCCCAGUUCUGACAUUAAUAGCUGUGUGGCCCUGGGCAAGUUCCUUCCCUUUUCUGUGCCUCGGCUUUCUCAUUUGUACAUGGUGAAUAAUAACAGCAUGUUAGUAGUACCGGAUGAGUUAGUAAACAUUAAUAAACAGUGUUUAGAAUGUCGGUGGCUCAGAGCAGACACAUAGUUCACACUUGAUACAUAUUAGCUGUUGUUGCCAUUUUUAAAAAUGGAGAAACCAGAGGCUCAGAGAGAUCAACUUAACCAAACAUGACACAGCUGUGAGUAGCAGGGACACAGCUUGACCCAGGCAUUUCGGACUUGGAAGCUGCCUUGUAUCCAUCCAACCAGAUGCCAUCAGUAGUAGCUUCAGGGACCAAGGGGACACUGUCAUCACUCUCCUUAUCAGUAGGAGAAAUUUUCAGCUGAAAGACCCAGUGAUACUUUUUUGUAAAGACAUGGUCUCCAGCCAGUGACCAUGAAGACCUGGCGUAGUAUGUCCAGCACCUGCGAGGUGUGUGAUCAUUUCUGCAAGGUGGCUGGAGGGACUGGGCCACUGGGGUGGGAAAGGAAGGGUGUGCCCUGGGACAGCACUUAAUUCCUUAUUCCACCACUAAACGUCAGGCUUCUCAUCUUUCAAAUCGGGUUUCUAUUGUAUUUCCUCCCGGUGAGCACUUAGGAAGUGCCUUAUAAACUGAGCAUCGUCAGUGCCGCUUGUUGCAGAAUUAGGAUUGUACAUGUUACCUUAUCAUUUGUUUCUUAUCUCAGUUCCUACUUACACACACUCACACAAAGCGUAAGUGUUGUGACCCCAGCUCCGUGUUAGUCACCGGAAGGCUCUGGAAACCAAGCCUUCAGAAUCUUCUGGAAGAGAUUUUUCCCUUGCCUAACUAGGCUAAAUGAACUGGAAUGAGGAGCCACCGGGAUUUUUCGAGACUGGGGUAUCUACCAUGUCUGUUGGUUUGGCGGCAGAUAGACAAGGUCGCGCUCUGCCACGCAAGACAUUCCCUCACUGAAUUUUCCACCUGAGCAUUUUCAGACAUGGGCCUCUUGGGUGUGAGGGACGAAGGGCUCAGUCUGAACGAAAGGUCACAGGCUAAGUGGUGUGGCUUUAAGCAAAAAAGAUGACUUCAUGCCCGGAAUUUCCUAGGAGGACUUUUAAACUUAACCCUGCAUAACAAGCAAUUCAACUAUCUUUUAUUUUUAUUUUUUAAAUUUAAAUGGCCCUCUCUCUCUUCCUUUCCCUCCCUUCCUCCCUCCCUCCUUCCUUCCUUCCAAGGAACACAUCCACUCUUGAAAAUUCUAAAGAUCCAGAAAGAUGCGCAGCAAAAGUGAGAUAUGUGCCCCCAUUUCUGGUUCCCCAGCCAACAGGCGUCCCUUCUGGGAGGCAGUCACUGUCAGAAGUGUCCUGCCUGUCAUUCUAGAGAUGGUCUGCCUGCACAUGUCCGAGAAAGUCCGUGUGUGUGUACAAGGUUUCCUUCUUUAUUGUGUGAGCUUGUGUUUCAUAGCACCCGAGCUCCGUGAUUCAGGCCGUAAUGUACUUUCCCAUUUCUCCCGAGUUACGAGGCCUCCCUUCCCAUUGGCUCUUCUCCAGCUGCUGCCAUUGUCCUCUCUGUGCCCAGGGCCUAUUCCCGGGCACGUGUGAUGACAUGGAGACAUCUGUGAUGAAGUGGCGGUGGACACUGGAGCGGUCCAGCCCCGUUGGUGGAGAAUCCCUUGGUUUCAGGAGGUCCUGGGCUCACCUUGAUCUCCCCCCUGAAGGCAGGAAGCAGGAAGGCUGGACGGCAAUGCAGGGCAGUCUCCAGAAAUUGCUCACUCACAGACAGCCUGCCGGGGAACCCACUUCUCCCCGUUAAAGGGAAGCUUUAAGACCACUUUCCCUUGACUCAGGUCACCUGGUGCAGAAUGACACCCCUGAGAGAUGGCCGAGGCCAUCGUUCCUCAAAUUCGAGCCAAGCACAGAUCCCCAGGAGUCCUUUUUAAAUGCAGAUUCUCAUUCAAUUCAUCUGUGUGGGGCUGAGAUUCUGCACGAAUGAUGAACCCCCAGAUGAUGCUGAUGCUGCGGUCCUCGCACUGACUGACCCAUUUUGAGCAGCAAGGAAGCAUCUAGUCCCUCCCACCGCUGCUCGCACCACACAUAGUACCCGACACCAUCUAGAGGGCCAGACAGCACGUACUCCGGCUCCGUCACAGGUGAGGAAACUACUGCUCAGAGAUGUGAAAUAACUCAGCAGAGGUCACACAGCUAAUAAGUGACAAACAGGAAUGUCCAAGCGGUGAAGGUCAUUUCCAGUCGCCGAGUCUUUCACAAGCCCAUGUCUGGACCGGGACAUCUCAUGUCUCAUCGUGAGCAGGAGACUGGAAAAUAACUGGCCGGAGGGGAUAGGCCCAGCAGUAACACUGGCCCAGAGAGAAUUGAGUGCUUUUGUCCGGUGACAAGAAGACACACGCAGCUGGAAAAAGGAGCCUAGGCCAUCACCAUGUUCCCCAAAUAGCAGAACACCUCCCUCCUUCCCACCUUCUCUCCCGUGGCACAGAAUACGUUUUACCAGGGAUCGGUCACUGCUGAGCUGUCUUCAUUUAAUGUGGCUUUGACAGAAUAGUUGGUCUGGAAAUCUUAUUUUCAAUUAAAUAUCCUUAUUGAACUGCCUUGGUUUUGAAAAGAUUCCAUUAGGAUGGCUAAUUAUAUAGCAGUUGCUCCAAGGAGAUGCUGGCACUCCAUUUCAGCUCUUAAGUAAUUCGAAUCAAAUGCUGUCUUCUUUCCUCCUUGGAGCUGUGAGCGACCGUCUUCCCCUCACACUGUAGGCUUCUCGUGAGUUAUUUUUGGAAAUCCAAGUCAAAACAGCAAUUUUGGCAGAGGCCAUUUCUAGCCUAGCAGAGUAAACCGUAUGUACUGAUAAAAACAGCCGAAGAGUCAGUGCCUUUAAAAAGCAACUAAACCAUCUCCUUCUGUGGGGGUUAAAUUUGGGGGACCUCCAAACUGUCCUUUGUACUAUCCUGUUCCUUCGUGAGCUCUAACUGAAGUCAAAGACAUUGGAAUUCCUUUAAGAUUAGCAAAGCUUUGUCCGUUUGCAAACUGUCAUCGUGGUCAUUUUGUUUCAAGAUGGCAGGCCUUGGCAGAAUUUACCAGGCACUCUGUUUUGGCCUCUGGAUCUCCCCUGAAACGUGGAAAUCACUUUCUGUUCCCAUUCUGUGCUGUUUGCUUCUGUCACCAGAGCACGCGCGACAUUCCUCGCGACAUUCCUCCUUACGCAUACCAAGCAGGCAGACCUUCCUGCUCACCCGUUAGAACGGAGCUUCUUGUGGCCAGGGGCUGUGUUUUUCAUCUUAUCUCCUUCCUGGCACAUAAUAGAUGCUCAAAUAGUUGGAUGAAUAGAUAGAUUAGAUAGAUGAAUGAAUAGAAUCCUAUUUCUAUUUUUCUCUUUUAAAAAAAAAAUCAAUCAUUUAUUACAUAAAUAGUAAAUGAAUGUUUUCACCUUGUGGGGAAAAAACAGCUUCCAAAUGAGGUUAAAGUCCUUUUUUUUUUUCCAGUUUUCUUUUUUUUUAAAGAUUGGCACCUGAGCUAACAACUGUUGCCAAUCUUCCUUUUUCUUUUUUCCUGUUUUUUCUCCCCAAAUCCCCCCAAUACAUAGUUGGGUGU
ensembl:lncRNA